UGCGGGGUGGAGCAGCCUGGUAGCUCGUCGGGCUCAUAACCCGAAGGUCGUUGGUUCAAAUCCAGCCCCCGCAACCA
rnacentral:tRNA from 1 species